rnacentral:rRNA from 1 species
AUGGAGAGGAGCUGGUUCGGGUGGAGGAAGGCGAAGCAGGGCGGAGGUGGCGGUGCCGGCGGCGGCGGCGGGGAGAGGGAGGAGGAGGAUCAGGCCAAGGUGGUGGUGGACGGGUCGGGGAUACGGGAGCUGGUGGAGGACAGGGAGGCGUUCGGCAUGUUCGCGGAGACCAAGUUCCGGCAGCUCGACGCCGACGGGGACGGCCGGCUGUCCGUGCGGGAGCUGCAGCCCGCCGUGGCCGACAUCGGCGCGUCGCUCGGCCUGCCCGCGCAGGGCUCCUCGCCCAACGCCGACCACAUCUACUCCGAGGCUAUGAGCGAGUUCACUCAUGGUCACGGGAACCAAGAGGGGGUGAGCAGGGCAGAGUUCCAGGAGGUCUUGUCCGACAUUCUCCUCGGAAUGGCGGCCGGGCUCAAGAAGGAUCCGAUCGUGAUACUGCGCAUCGACGGCGAGGACCUCAGGGACUUCGUGUCCAGCCCAAGGUAUGAGCCGGCAGUCGCUGCCAUCUUCUCACAAGUUGGGUCUGAAGAUGCCCCUCUCCGGCAGUGCCUGCUAGCCGCCGUUCAGCAGCUCGGCGUCGACCACGGCAUGCCCCCAGCCGCUGACCCUUGGGUGGUAGAGAACGUGGUAGAGCCGGCAUUGCAGCAGCUCUCCGCCGAUGAGCUCGAGCAACCGGCGUCCCGGGACGUCUUCUUCGAGCAGCUGAAGAAGCUGCUGGGCAGUGUGGCGGAACAGCUUCAGGAGCGGCACGUCAUCGUUGCGCACACCGAGAACACCUUCGACGGGAGCGGUGUCAGGAGGCUGCUGGGAAACAAGUUCGAGCUGGACAAGCUGCUGGAUUCUGUGUGGAGGGACGUGCCGGCAGAGCACAAGAAGAAGGCGCCCAAGGACAAGGAGCACCUGCGAGUCGCACUCGAUAAGAUGGCCGAUGCAGCAAGCUUACCACCUCAUGGCGCUGUUGCUCAGGUGGACGCCGUCGUGGACGAGGCGCUCAAGGUGGCGGACGCCGGCGACGGGAAGGCGGUCCAAGAAGGGGAGUUUAAGAAGCUGCUGACGGAGGUCCUUGGGGCCGUGAUGCUGCGGCUGAGCGGCGAACCGAUCUUCUUCUCCACCAGCACAGUCGUCCACGAGCCGCUGUCCAGCUCGUCCGCCCUGUUGCCGUCGCUGGCGGUGGCAUCGCCGCCGAGCGAGUAG